rnacentral:rRNA from 1 species
CCUACGGGUGGCAGCAGUGAGGAAUAUUGGUCAAUGGACGAGAGUCUGAACCAGCCAAGUAGCGUGAAGGAUGACUGCCCUAUGGGUUGUAAACUUCUUUUAUAUGGGAAUAAAAUGUUCCACGUGUGGGAGUUUGUAUGUACCAUAUGAAUAAGGAUCGGCUAACUCCGUGCCAGCAGCCGCGGUAAUACGGAGGAUCCGAGCGUUAUCCGGAUUUAUUGGGUUUAAAGGGUGCGUAGGGGGAUUGUUAAGUCAGUUGUGAAAGUUUGCGGCUCAACCGUAAAAUUGCAGUUGAAACUGGCAGUCUUGAGUACAGUAGAGGUGGGCGGAAUUCGUGGUGUAGCGGUGAAAUGCUUAGAUAGCACGAAGAACUCCGAUUGCGAAGGCAGCUCACUGGACUGCAACUGACACUGAGGCUCGAAAGUGUGGGUAUCAAACAGGAUUAGAUACCCGAGUAGUC